AUGGCUGUCGUCAGCUCGUGUCGUGAGAUGUUGGGUUAAGUCCCGCAACGAGCGCAACCCUUACUUUUAGUUGCCACCAUUUAGUUGAGCACUCUAAAAGAACUGCCAGUGAUAAGCUGGAGGAAGGUGGGGAUGACGUCAAGUCCUCAUGGCCCUUACGUGUUGGGCUACACACGUGCUACAAUGGUAUCUACAAUGAGAUGCGAAGAGGCGACUCUAAGCCAAUCCCAAAAAGAUACCUCAGUUCGGAUUGCACUCUGCAACUCGAGUGCAUGAAGCUGGAAUUACUAGUAAUCGUGGAUCAGCGCGCCACGGUGAAUACGUUCCCGGGUCUUGUACACACCGCCCGUCACACCAUGGAAGUUGGUUACACCUUAAGGCAAAGCAUAAAACCUUUGACUACGGUACGAUCAGCGACUGGGGUGAAGUCGUAACAAGGUAGCCGUAGGGGAACCUGCGGCUGGAUCACCUCCUUUCUAAGGAAAUCGAAAAAUAUCAAAACAAUUAUUUUUCGAUUUAAAAAAAACCGGUAAUGUGACCGUCCUCAUUUCUCUUCUUUUAAUGUCUCUGAGUAAAAAUAAUGUAAGGGGCCGGUAGCUCAGGUGGUUAGAGCGCACCCCUGAUAAGGGUGAGGUCGGAAGUUCAACUCUUCCCAGACCCACCAGGUUGCCUCCACAAUAGAGGUUUACCAAUCGGGGCCAUAGCUCAGCUGGGAGAGCACCUGCUUUGCAAGCAGGGGGUCGGCGGUUCGAUCCCGCCUGGCUCCACCAGGUGAUAAACGAUAGUGAUUUAGACCACUAUCGUUUAUUUCCUGACGAAGUUGGGUCAGCGGACGCUCUUUAACAAUUUAGUAGUAGUGAUAUACGACGGUGAAGUCGAGCCUGUUUCAGGCGAGGCUUUACUGGGUAUACCAGCAUUUAUCAGUAGAUGUAUUCGAUAUAUCCCAAAGGGAUCAGUCUUUUUGGGGUUAUAUGAUCAAGCGACCAAGCGCGCAUGGUGGAUGCCUAGGUGGUAAGAGGCGACGAAGGACGUUGUAGCCUGCGAUAAGCCUCGGGGAGCCGGCAAACAGGCUUUGAUCCGAGGAUUUCCGAAUGGGGAAACCCGG
rnacentral:sRNA from 1 species